GGCCGACUAGCUCAGUUGGUUAGAGCGUCGUGCUAAUAUUGGAUUUAAAUAUGGUAUUACGCGAAGGUCUUGGGUUCGAUCCCCACGUUGGCCA